AUAUGAAGAUAUAUGCAGUAUCGCCGCUCCCUAUACACAGAGUAUGCAGUUUGUGUAGGGCACCAACUCCCAGGGGGGGCACGAUCCCAG